rnacentral:lncRNA from 1 species
AUUUAGUAGCCUUAGAAUGAGGGGAAGUAGAAUUGUUUAAACGUUGAUUCAAUGUUGUUUUAUCAGAGUCUGAUGUUAAUAUUUUGUGUUUCAGAUUGUUUUUGCCAAUGUUUUGAUCUGAGGUUUAAAGAACCACUUUUACAAUAUUGGAGAUAUGUAGUGGAAUAAAUGCCUGGAAAGACAAUUAUUGUCUGACAAUAUAAACUAUAAAUUGAAACCGGAAUGCAAUGAUAAGAAAGGGAAAUAUGGAAUAAAUGCCUGGAAAUACAAUAUAAACUAUAAUUUUAAACUGGAAUGCAAUGAUAAGAAAGGGAAAUAAACUAUUGCUAAGUCUAAAGAACCACUGAAGCUGAAGAAUUGAGAUACAACAAUCUUUGACUGACUUUAGAUUGGUGGCGAUCGAAGGUGGACAGCAAGAUCGAAGCUCAGCAAGAUUGAAGAUUGUUCGAAGAAGAAGGAGUUCGCCGUUGACUAAAAGGUUUAUCUGAACAGCUAGUUGUCAAGAUGAAUGCGAAGACUCGCCCGGCCAAAUUCAAAAUGGCGAUGCCAAAGAAAACCAUCCACCUGGACCGUUCGCAGACCUUUCUGGGCAAGAUUGUUGUGCUGUCUGGUCAAAGUUAAGUAUUUUACUUUGAUGUUUGUGUGCCUUCGGCUAAUUGUUGGCCAGAAAUGACAAAAAGCCAUAUACAAUAUGAAAUAUUCUGCGUACAAGGUUAUCUAAAAUUUCGAACUUAAUUCUGCCUGCAAUGAUGAUAAUUUUUUACUGAAAAUUUAUGUCAUGAGCAACUUCCGCACCUAUAGACUGAAGCAGAACUGAACAUUUUGUCAUUAACGUUUAUCUCAACAGCCAGUUAUCAAGACGAACGUCAAGAGAACAGUUGAAAUAG